GGGGAAUUAGCUCAGUGGGAGAGCACUGCGCUGGCAGCGCAGGGGUCAGGGGUUCGAAUCCCCUAUUCUCCACCA
rnacentral:tRNA from 1 species